AGAGUGAACGCUGGCGGUAGGCCUAACACAUGCAAGUCGAACGGCAGCACAGUAGGAGCUUGCUCUUACGGGUGGCGAGUGGCGGACGGGUGAGGAAUACGAUCGGAAUCUACCUUUUGGUGGGGGAUAACGUAGGGAAACUUACGCUAAUACCGCAUACGCCCUUCGGGGGAAAGCCGGGGACCAGCAAUGGCCUGGCGCUGAUAGAUGAGCCGAUGUCGGACUAGCUAGUUGGUGAGGUAAUGGCUCACCAAGGCGACGAUCCGUAGCUGGUCUGAGAGGAUGAUCAGCCACACUGGAACUGAGACACGGUCCAGACUCCUACGGGAGGCAGCAGUGGGGAAUAUUGGACAAU
rnacentral:rRNA from 1 species